rnacentral:rRNA from 1 species
GAUGAACGCUGGCGGCGUGCCUAAUACAUGCAAGUCGAGCGAACGGACGAGAAUCUUGCUUCUCUGAUGUUAGCGGCGGACGGGUGAGUAACACGUGGAUAACCUACCUAUAAGACUGAGAUAACUUCGUAAAACCGGAGCUAAUACCGGGUAAUAUUUUGAACCGCAUGGUUCAACAGUGAAAGACGGUCUUGCUGUCACUUAUAGAUGGAUCCGCGCUGCAUUAGCUAGUCUGUAAGGUAACGGGUUACCAAGGCAACGAGGCAUAGCCGACCUGAGAGGGUGGUCGGGCACACUGGAAGUGAGACACGGUCCAGACUCCUACGGGAGGCAGCAGUAGGGAAUCUUCCGCAAUGGGCGAAAGCCUGACGGAGCAACGCCGCGUGAGUGAUGAAGGUCUUCGGAUCGUAAAACUCUGUUAUUAGGGAAGAACAUAUGUGUAAGUAACUGUGCACAUCUUGACGGUACCUAAUCAGAAAGCCACGGCUAACUACGUG